AUUGAACGCUGGCGGCAGGCUUAACACAUGCAAGUCGAGCGAGCGGCGGACGGGUGAGUAAUGUCUGGGAAACUGCCUGAUGGAGGGGUCUAACUACUGGAACCGGUAGCUAAUACCGCAUACCAUCAGAUGUGCCCCGCUGGGAUUAGCUAGUCGGUGGGGUAAUGGCUCACAAAGGCGACGAUCCCUAGCUGGGCUGAGAGGGUGACCAGCCACACUGGAACUGAGACACGGUCCAGACUCCUACGGGAGGCAGCAGUGGGGAAUAUUGCGCAAUGGGCGCAAGCCUGAUGCAGCCAUGCCGCGUGUGUGAAGAAGGCCUUCGGGUUGUAAAGCACUGUCAGUGAGGAGGCGUUACUCGCAGAAGAAGCACCGGCUAACUCCGUGCCAGCAGCCGCGGUAAUUC
rnacentral:rRNA from 1 species